ACUUGUCUAGUUCAGUUGGUAAAAUACAAGGCUCUUGAUCUUGUGAUCGUGGGUUCAAGCCCCAUGGUGGGCA
rnacentral:tRNA from 1 species